GGGGCUCGUAGCGCAGUGGUCGUCGCGCCUCCACCGCAUGUAGGAGGACGCCGGUUCGAAUCCGGUCGGCCCCG
rnacentral:tRNA from 1 species